GUCCUAUGUAAACAAAACCAGAAGACAGCACAUCCAGUACGGAAGGUCAGUGUGUUACAGAUAAGUAUUAGUGAUUCAAACAUAAACUAAGUUAUGAGCAAAUAGUGAGCUAUCUAACAGAGACUGGCCAAGGAGUGAAAUUCAGUGAUCCCCAGGAUUGCGAGCUGCUCUGAAGCUUUGAAGCCAGAAGCAAGUCAGCAAGGAGUGGGAGUCCAGAAGACCUCUGACUCUAGCAGACACUGUUAAUACUACUGCAAAGAAAAUAUUUGACCAAGACUUUCCAGGCAUCUUCCUUGUCACGAGAGCACUGAAACAGCCCUACAG
rnacentral:lncRNA from 1 species